rnacentral:rRNA from 1 species
UACGUAGGGGGCAAGCGUUGUCCGGAAUCAUUGGGCGUAAAGCGCGUGUAGGCGGCUUGGUAAGUCCGCUCUGAAAGCCCGGGGCUCAACCCCGGGAGGCGGGUGGAUACUGUCAAGCUCGAGUCCGGAAGAGGCGAGUGGAAUUCCUGGUGUAGCGGUGAAAUGCGCAGAUAUCAGGAAGAACACCAAUGGCGAAAGCAGCUCUCUGGGACGGUACUGACGCUGAGACGCGAAAGCGUGGGGAGCGAACAGG